AUAUGUGUAUAGGUAAAUACUUGGUCUGAAUCACAAACAUAGCCCAAUUAAUGUUUAUGUUUGUUUAUGGAAAAGUUACUGGAAAAUCGUUGAUGAGUUUGUAAUUCCAGUACAUUCUAAAGUUGGUGGAGUAUGGGGGUUCAUCAUAGACGUGCUUAGAUGAGAACUCUAUUAUCUAUGUCAAUCGGAUUGAGGGUGCGUGCACUACAAUACCGAAGAAGCUCUGGCCAUUUUGGAUUGCAUGUAAAAGUGACAAACAGAUCAGGAAAUCCAAACUUUUGACAUAUAGCCAUUGCAUCCAAGUACAUAUUUCGCAUAUAUCUCGGGCCACCCACAAACGUUGCUGGUUUCUUCUUUUUUUGAAUCUUUUUGGAACCCUUCAAGAUCCCAGGCCUGAACCCAUCUUCACCCUUAGGAAACAACAGCGGAUAUUGUAGAGCAAGAUAGGAUGGAUGGAUUUCACUUAUCCUUUGUAGUGAUCCUGAUUUUUCUUCAACUACAAUGUCACGGCUAGGCAUGUCAACUGCAAAAUCGCCCGGUAUCAAUGCAGCCACCUCCGAAGCUGUUGGGACAUCAUAUUUUCGCCCAUCUUUAACACGAUCACUCACUAUUCACAUGUGGAAGCUCUCUUCCGGAGACAUAUUCAUCCUAUCUCUAGCUGAUCGGAAAGUCUCUACAUAUGGAUUUACCUCGUUAAGCAACUUGAUGAUUGCUACUAUUACGUCUUGCCUCAAAUUCCCCUUCUUUUUGAACUUGUGCGCAUUUUUUCCUUUGCUGAUACA